rnacentral:rRNA from 1 species
UUUGACCUCGGAUCAGGUAGGGUACCCGCUGAACUAAGCUA